CCUACGGGGGGCAGCAGUGAGGAAUAUUGGUCAAUGGGCGCGAGCCUGAACCAGCCAAGUCGCGUGAGGGAAGACGGUCCUAUGGAUUGUAAACCUCUUUUGUCGGGGAGCAAAAGACGCCACGCGUGGCGUUCCGAGAGUACCCGAAGAAAAAGCAUCGGCUAACUCCGUGCCAGCAGCCGCGGUAAUACGGAGGAUGCGAGCGUUAUCCGGAUUUAUUGGGUUUAAAGGGUGCGCAGGCGGAAGAUCAAGUCAGCGGUAAAAUUGAGAGGCUCAACCUCUUCGAGCCGUUGAAACUGGUUUUCUUGAGUGCGUGAGCAGUAUGCGGCAUGCGUGGUGUAGCGGUGAACUGCAUAGAUAUCACGCAGAACUCCGAUUGCGAAGGCAGCAUACCGGCGCCCGCCUGACGCUGAGGCACGACAGCGUGGGGAUCGAACAGGAUUAGAUACCCCUGUAGUC
rnacentral:rRNA from 1 species